CAACCUACCUAUCAGAGGGGAAUAACCCGGCGAAAGUCGGACUAAUACCGCAUAAAACAGGGGCACCGCAUGGUGAUAUUUGUUAAAGAAAUUCGCUGAUAGAUGGGCAUGCGUUCCAUUAGGUAGUUGGUGAGGUAACGGCUCACCAAGCCGACGAUGGAUAGGGGAACUGAGAGGUCGGUCCCCCACACUGGUACUGAGACACGGACCAGACUCCUACGGGAGGCAGCAGUGAGGAAUAUUGGUCAAUGGGCGAGAGCCUGAACCAGCCAAGUCGCGUGAAGGAAGAAGGAUCUAUGGUUCGUAAACUUCUUUUGCAGGGGAAUAAAGUGCGGGACGUGUCCUGUUUUGUAUGUACCCUGAGAAUAAGGAUCGGCUAACUCCGUGCCAGCAGCCGCGGUAAUACGGAGGAUCCGAGCGUUAUCCGGAUUUAUUGGGUUUAAAGGGUGCGUAGGUGGUUUGAUAAGUCAGCGGUGAAAGUUUGCAGCUUAACUGUAAAAAUGCCGUUGAAACUGUCGGACUUGAGUGUAAAUGAGGUAGGCGGAAUGCGUGGUGUAGCGGCGAAAUGCAUAGAUAUCACGAAGAACUCCGAUUG
rnacentral:rRNA from 1 species